rnacentral:rRNA from 1 species
UACGAAGGGAGCUAGCGUUGUUCGGAAUCACUGGGCGUAAAGCGCACGUAGGCGGAUGUGUCAGUCAGGGGUGAAAUCCCGGAGCUCAACUUCGGAACUGCCUUUGAUACAGCACAUCUGGAGUCCGGAAGAGGUGGGUGGAAUUCCUAGUGUAGAGGUGAAAUUCGUAGAUAUUAGGAAGAACACCGGUGGCGAAGGCGGCCCACUGGUCCGGUACUGACGCUGAGGUGCGAAAGCGUGGGGAGCAAACAGGAUGAGAAACCCUU